rnacentral:lncRNA from 1 species
CGUAUUAAACUUAAAUCAAUGGCACAUCGAUCGUCCGAGUUUUCAAGGCAUCUCCCACUAUCAAGACGAAGACAAAUAUGAUAUUAAACAGUACGUAAAAUAUUAAUACAACAAUUAAGAUAAACAUAGCGAUCAAAAUAAUUAAGAAUGUGGUGUUACAGUGAAGAAAGCUACAUGUUGACACUGAAUGCUCAAUUGUGCAGUGGUCCUCUUCUCUAAGAGCUGCUGCAAAUCGGUGAUGCCAUCGCUGUUCAGCACCACUAUGAUACAGAUUGAGCCUGUAACAUCGAUACUGCGUAGAAGCUAUGUUGUAGAUCGCGCUUGUAGCGGCCCAAAUGGUGGCUACAGUGGCACAACCUCGACUAUAACAGUGUGGAUAGCACUUCAGGGGCACAGAUCGCAGUGGCGAUGAUGAUUUUUCUUUUUUUAUAGUUAGAUAGGUGUUGGCGAUUUUCAUGUUUUAGUGGUGUUGGGGUUUUGGGGUGGUUUUUGUUGGUGGUGGUCUAGUGAUUUCGAUGGUGUUUUAGGUAGUGGUGACGGUGACGUUUGGUGAUUUGGUAUGGUGGUGGUCAUGCUAAUGGGAAUGGUGAUGGUGGUAAUAGUGUGUGGGUGGAUGGUAGAGGUGGUGGUGAUGGCGAUAGUUGCGAUGUAUGAAUAACGAUUUUGUUGUUCAGAGGUAGUGAUGGUGGUUUCGAUGGUUAUACGGUAGGUGACAGUGGUGAGGUCGUGGUUAUAAGUGUUUAUGAUAGUCAUAAAUGAUUUAGUUGUUUGUGACCAAUAAAUUAAUUAAU